rnacentral:rRNA from 1 species
GACGAACGCUGGCGGCGUGCUUAACACAUGCAAGUCGAACGGAAAGGCCCUGCUUGCAGGGUACUCGAGUGGCGAACGGGUGAGUAACACGUGGGUGAUCUGCCCUUCACUUCGGGAUAAGCCUGGGAAACUGGGUCUAAUACCGGAUAGGAGCCAUUUUUAGUGUGAUGGUUGGAAAGUUUUUUCGGUGUAGGAUGAGCUCGCGGCCUAUCAGCUUGUUGGUGGGGUAAUGGCCUACCAAGGCGGCGACGGGUAGCCGGCCUGAGAGGGUGGACGGCCACAUUGGGGCUGAGAUACGGCCCAGACUCCUACGGGAGGCAGCAGUGGGGAAUAUUGCACAAUGGGCGCAAGCCUGAUGCAGCGACGCCGCGUGGGGGAUGACGGCCUUCGGGUUGUAAACUCCUUUCGCUAGGGACGAAGCUUUUUGUGACGGUACCUAGAUAAGAAGCACCGGCUAACUACGUG